GGGUAAUCGCGAAUCUGGGUUACGCUAACCCUCCCGUAUUUUUUCAUCGCACUGCAUUUCAGGCAUCGUACUGUCACAGUCGCGUCCAUUCAUCGUCGUUGACGACACGGAGGGGGAAAAGCAUAUUAUUAUCCGCGAACUUACCAUUUAAGCGACGCAGUGAGCAGAUCACUGCCUCGAUCUGCCUUUCACAAUCGAGGAUUAUUAGCGUUCAUCGGAAAUCGGAAUAUCCGCGGAUGAAUUGGAGACUGCGGAGGAAAGAAGAGAGAGAAAGAGAAAAAGAGAAUCGCGCGAAUCACUUCGGGGACGAAGCACUGGUGCGUCGUCGUUGUCGCGUCAUGACAUUUAACGCGGAAACAUUCGGACGCUCAUCGUCACACAAAGAAAUCAGCGGAACGUCGGGGGCGGAACUGGCUCCAUCACAGUAUAAUCGUAUCGCGUAUCGCUAAUCGCUACUUCUCCGAGGACAUAGACGUGUCAGUGUGGAAUAGACGCGCGUCGCGAUGGAUCGAUAGAUCGAUCGACCGCGCGAAUCGAUGACGUCGAUUGGUCGCUUCGGAAACAUCUUGCGCGCCAAUCGGAUCAGCUGACCGCACAGUCUCGUCUGACACGUGCUGGAGUGCAGUGUGCUUCUGAAGUUCGCAGAUUUUUAAGUGCACUUUUUUCAUAAUAACAAUAACGAUAUAUAAAAUACAAUAAGGUUAAUAUUCAGGUGUUUUGGCGGGAAAGAGCGACGCGUACUAUUACGUCAUGCUGUCAUUUUACGCAAUCUCGGAUGGUGCUACAAUUUGCUAAAUUGGCGUGUAAUGAUAACAUUGCGAUACGCAGUGCGAUUCACGCGUCGUGU